rnacentral:rRNA from 1 species
GUGUCAGCCGCCGCGGUAAAACGUAGGAGGCGAGCGUUAUCCGGAUUCACUGGGCGUAAAGCGCAUGUAGGUGGCUCGUCAAGUCGCCUGUGAAAGCCCCUGGCUUAACUGGGGGAGGUCAGGCGAAACUGACGGACUUGAGGGCCGGAGAGGAAGGUGGAAUUCCCGGUGUAGCGGUGGAAUGCGUAGAGAUCGGGAGGAACACCAGUGGCGAAAGCGACCUUCUGGGCGGCGCCUGACACUGAGAUGCGAAAGCGUGGGGAGCAAACGGGAUUAGAUACCCCGGUAGUCCACGCCCUAAACGAUGAGGGCUGGGUGUAGGGUCCAUUCGGACUCUGUGCCGAAGCUAACGCGUUAAGCCCUCCGCCUGGGGACUACGAGCGCAAGCUUAAA